GUGUUUCCUAAGCUAUGUUUACUUGAACUUAGGUAUGAAUUUUGGACACGGAUAUUGUGUCCAACAUGGGUAUUUUCCCUUUUUUCCAAGAUUUUCAUAUAUUGGGAUGCUACUUAGACUAUCUUUAUUUGAAUUCCUUGAAUUAGGAGGUUGGGAGUUACCUAGGAGAUUUAGUCUAACAUUUGAAUUCUUUUUCACUGAUAUUUAAUUUCUUAUUUGUUUUACUUUGUAUCUGAAUACUAUAACCCCACCUACCAGUCACAACUAGCAUCAGUUGAGCAGAGACAAGGUGCUCAUGCAGUUUUUCCCAGAAAUCGAUUCAAAAUACGAAGGAAUCAUAUUCUAGAAGAUGCUUUUAAUCAGACGAGUGCACUGUCUGAAGAAGAUUUUAAAGGAUUGAUUCGUGUAACAUUUGUCAAUGAAUUUGGAUUGGAGUAGGCUGGUAUUGAUGGUGGUGGAAUUUUCAAAGAUUUAUGGAAAAUAUUACUCUGGCUGCAUUCGAUGUGCAAUAUGGGUUAUUUAAGUUUGCAGAGUCUGGUAAUGUAGAACCAUAGUAGGCUCUCUACAGCCAAAAAUAAGAUCUGUGCUGAGCAUUCGCUUCAAUGAGGAUAUAUUGAGUGUAUGGAAUCGUAAUGCAUCAGAUCAUCAGCUUUAAAUUGACAUUUGUGAGGUACUGUUAUCGUUGGGCAAGAAGGAAGGGUGUGUGCAAGAUUCAGAGCAACCUGUUGGAAAGUCUUCUAUAGAAAGGCCAAAUAUUGGGGGUUUAUUUCCCAUCGGAGAUCAUUUUGGCAAACUGAAUCCAUCUAACUUUUUGUGUGUGUGUGUGAAGUUGACAAUUUCCUGAUGUUUCAUCAACCAAAUGGAGUUGUAUAUCAUCUAGGCAUCAAAUGAGCCAUGGUCUUUUGGGAUAACAAAUCAUUAAAGAGGGAAAAUAGUGUGUUAUCUUUUACCCCUUUAUGGAUCGUUUCUUGUUUGUUGCCUUUCUUAUGACUUCUUUAAAUUGUCGCUAACUCACUCCUUUACAUCAAGGAACUUCUUAAAGGACCACUCCAUUAUGCUGCAACAAUUACUUUGGCUGGUGCACUUUACUGGAGGACUUUACCAAUCGAAAUUGUUGCAAUAUGCAACCUUUGAACUGGAGAUGGUAAUAGGCUAUAGAAGUCAUUUAUUUAUUUUCUUCUUUCCUGAAUUAGCUAGACUUAAAGCUGCUUGAGUGAACAUUUCAAGCAUUUCUUGGCAA